CAAGCAUUUUUACAUUAUAUAGUAUUUAAACUCAGUUUUUGUUUCCUCUUAUGUCAUAAACUUUUUACAGAGCUUAUUGACACAGUAUUUUUCUUUCCCUUCAAUUUUCCACAGACUAAAAAGGAGGAAGAAGAGCUUUCUCUGGAAAUGAAAUCAAGCAGCUUUCCUUGUAUUGAAAGAGAAAAUAAAGCUUGGAGAAUUUGUUUAACUGACACACUAGAGGGAGAUACAUCAACAUCAAUAACAAAAGAAAAUGCAGACAUCAACAUCUAUUAAAAUCAAUUUUAAUAAAAAACUAUCUUCAAAAGGAU
rnacentral:lncRNA from 1 species